rnacentral:rRNA from 1 species
CUUCGGUAUGUACUGGCUUUACUGAUUCCUCCUUCUUGACGAACCGUGAUGUCAUUAAUUUGGUGUUGCGGGAAAUCAGGACUGUUACUUUGAAAAAAUUAGAGUGUUUAAGGCAGGCUAACGCUUGAAUACAUUAGCAUGGAAUAAUGAGAUAGGACGUUUGAUUCUAUUUUGUUGGUUUCUAGGAUCGACGUAAUGAUUAAUAGGGAUAGUUGGGGGCAUUAGUAUUCAAUUGUCAGAGGUGAAAUUCUUGGAUUUAUUGAAGACUAACUACUGCGAAAGCAUUUGCCAAGGAUGUUUUCAUUAAUCAAGAACGAAAGUUAGGGGAUCGAAGACGAUCAGAUACCGUCGUAGUCUUAACCAUAAACUAUGCCGACUAGGGAUCGGAUGAUGUUAAUUUUUUAAUGACUCAUUCGGCGCCUUACG